rnacentral:rRNA from 1 species
GAUGAACGCUGACAGAAUGCUUAACACAUGCAAGUCAACUUGAAUUUGGGUUGUUAACUUAGGUUUGGGUGGCGGACGGGUGAGUAACGCGUAAAGAACUUGCCUCACAGCUAGGGACAACAUUUGGAAACGAAUGCUAAUACCUAAUAUUAUGAUAAUAGGGCAUCCUAUAAUUAUGAAAGCUAUAAGCGCUGUGAGAGAGCUUUGCGUCCCAUUAGCUAGUUGGAGAGGUAACGGCUCACCAAGGCGAUGAUGGGUAGCCGGCCUGAGAGGGUGAUCGGCCACAAGGGGACUGAGACACGGCCCUUACUCCUACGGGAGGCAGCAGUGGGGAAUAUUGGACAAUGGACCGAGAGUCUGAUCCAGCAAUUCUGUGUGCACGAUGAAGUUUUUCGGAAUGUAAAGUGCUUUCAGUUGAGAAGAAACAAAUGACGGUACCAACAGAAGAAGUGACGGCUAAAUACGUG